rnacentral:misc_RNA from 1 species
AAGUCGUAACAAGGUUUCCGUAGGUGAACCUGCGGAAGGAUCAUUAUUUUAAAAAUAUUAAAAAGUUUUGUGAAUUAAAGGGACUGGGGGGAAAUUGGGGGGAAUGUGUUUUACACAAACUCCUCUCUCUCCAUCUCUUUUAUUGAAAAUUAUAAUAGUCUUAUUUAAAAAUUUUAAAUUAAACAACUUUUAACAAUGGAUCUCUUGGCUCUU